AUUGAACGCUGGCGGCAUGCCUUACACAUGCAAAUCGAACGGCAGCAUGGAGAGCUUGCUCUCUGAUGGCGAGUGGCGAACGGGUGAGUAAUGCAUCGGAACGUACCGUGUAAUGGGGGAUAACGUAGCGAAAGUUACGCUAAUACCGCAUACGACCUGAGGGUGAAAGCAGGGGAUCGCAAGACCUUGCGUUAUACGAGCGGCCGAUGUCAGAUUAGCUAGUUGGUGAGGUAAAGGCUCACCAAGGCGACGAUCUGUAGCGGGUCUGAGAGGAUGAUCCGCCACACUGGGACUGAGACACGGCCCAGACUCCUACGGGAGGCAGCAGUGGGGAAUUUUGGACAAUGGGGGCAACCCUGAUCCAGCCAUGCCGCGUGAGUGAAGAAGGCCUUCGGGUUGUAAACUGCUUUUGUACGGAGCGAAACGGCUUCCACUAAUACUGGGGGCUAAUGACGGUACCGUAAGAAUAAGCACCGGCUAACUACGUGCCAGCAGCAGCCGCGGUAA
rnacentral:rRNA from 1 species